UGGGGAAUAUUGCACAAUGGGCGCAGCCUGAUGCAGCGACGCCGCGUGGGGGAUGACGGCCUUCGGGUUGUAAUGCCUGGUGAUUGUAAGGGACCUACUCCUUUCAACCAUGACGAAGCUUUCGGGUGACGGUAGUGGUAGAAGAAGCACGGGCUAACUACGUG
rnacentral:rRNA from 1 species